GGCCGCACAUUUGUUUUUCAAACACUGGUUGCGCUUGAGUAUAUGCUGGUGAAAUAUUGAUAUACUAGUUCAAGGAUUAUGUCAAGCCAAAGAAUGAUUUGUGUGAACGAUAUGUGAUGUUGAAACAUCAAGUAAAACGGUAAUUCUGUUUCUUGCUCUACCUUCGCCUGAAUUUAUUUUACAUGUGUUGACACCUAAUUUUUGCCCUCCUCAACUACGUUAAAUCUCGAGUUUCUUCGAUUUUCAAAUAAAAUCACAACAGUUAUUUUUUCAAAAUAAAUGCAUUUUAAAUAUGUAUUUGGGCUAAGUUUGUUAUUUAAGUAAUAAUUAUAUAUUUUCAUAUUUACAUAUACGAGAUUGUAUAAAUGAUGUCAUUUAAAUGAACAUUCUCAUCAAUGUCUAUUUUUAAUUAAGGAUAAUCUUUGAAAAUAAAUGUGAUAAUUAAAAUUUUGAUUCAAAUACAAUGUAAUCUCAAAAAUAAUUUAUUUGGAUAAAUAUGUGUUUGAUUUUAUUAAAUCGAGAAGUUCGGGAUUAAAUGAGGUAUUGAUUCGAAUUGGAUUUCAAUUUAAUUUUGGUCAUAAUUGAAAUUAAAUCGACCAAUUGGCCAAUUAAUCUUCAAUUUGACCAAAAAAUGAAAUGAAAUUGGCUAAUCCCUAGAGGCUAUUUAUUAAGAAACCCCAAAAGUUACCCAACUGCUAAAUUCCUUCCUAAUCUGCCCAAUUUUGGCCCAAAUAUCUUUCUUGAUCAAUCUCCCAUUUGUUCCGAACUUCAACAGCCCAUUUCAACAACACAAGCCCAAAUCCCAUCCGUCCCACUCCCUUUUACCCAUUCACCAGCCCAACAACAAAUUAAUAACUACCCAGGCCCAAUCCAAUGUCAACCCAAUUUCAGACCCGGCCCAUUUCAGUUGUUGUCUUCAUCAAAAUAGCCUUCACCCAAUCUCAACACCGACCAGCUUCAAUAACCAUCAACCCGCCCCGACCUUCUAUAACUCGAUCAACAGCUCCAACUCAUCAAAAUCCGUCAAAUCGACCCGCAACCAACUCGUCUUAAUCCUCUUCACGCGUCCCACGCGAUGUUGUACCAUGGAAGAUCCGAGAAGCUUCUAGAAAGAGGGUGAGUUGGCUCAUCUAACGUCCAUAUUCCGCAAAUUUUGGGGUAAUGGUACGGAUUUGGCGAUUUUUCAUUGGGUCUGGGGGAGAAUUCGUUUCAUCCCAAUUCUAUUGGUCCACCAAACCCAAAUUGGUGCGGAUUGAGGACAAAAACGGAGCUGGAGGGGGGAAUUCGAAAUUAAAAUGGGCUAUUUUCGGAAAUCCCUGGAAUGCCCUCAAUCCCUUCUAUAAAAGGGCUCACGGAGAGCCGAGAAAGGGGUUCGGUUUUCGUGAAUGAAGGUUGGUAAAGAGAGGGAUUCGAAAAACGAAAAUUAAGGGAGGCAGAAGAGAAUUUUGAGAGCAACAAUUCCUUUUAGUAGAAAAAUUCUCGUUUCUUUCUUCUUUUGAGAGUUAGCUGAUUAAUUGGAGGGGUUUCUUUUGAGAGAGCUCCGGCGGUGGUCGACAUCCUGACAAUUAGCUCGUUGCCCCGUUUUGCUGCCCCGAAGGAGUUUUCUUAAGUCUUGGAAAACGUGACUUUGAGGUAAAGCGGAAGUACGAGUACAUGCACAAUCCAAAUGGUGAAACGGGAACAGUAGUCCAAAUACGACUGAUGGAAGAAGAUGAAGAUAAAGCUAAAAAGGCAUAUCAAACAAAAAUCGAAAGUAUUAUGAAGAUAGCUCAAAUCCAUAUUGUUGUGUCCACUUUGAUAAUGAUGGUCACUUUCGCUGCUGGCAUCACAUUGCCAGGAGGUUUCGAGAGCGACCCCGAUAGCCCUAAUCAAGGGAUGGCGAUUCUAACAAGGAAGACAACAUUUCGUGCAUUUGUUGUUUUCGAUGCCAUUGCCUUCACAUGCUCAGCUAUUCCCAUAUUCAUCUACUUCAUCAUGGCAAAUAUAAGUACACAACUUUAAAAAAAAAACGUAUACUGAAGCUUUGUAAUCGCGCAAUUAUUUUUAUGUGCUUGUCAAUGUUAGCGGUUGUAAUUGCAUUCACAACUGUUAUGUUUGCUACUUUAUCACAUUCACUUGGUCUUGCCGUUGCCGUUUGUUUCAUAGGUUGCCUCUCUAUUUUAUUAUACUUCUUGGUUCAUAUUUAUAGUUAAGAGAGACAUAAUGCCAGCUACUAGUACUUAUUGCUUGCAAAUAUAUAAUUCAACUACAUAUUUCAGUUUUUACCCAAUGCCUUGAAUUACAUAUGAAAGAUACGGUUUUUUUUAGUCCAUUACAUUAUAUUUUAUUUAUACAUCCUUUAUCACAUGAUAUAACAAUCUAUGUGGAUCAUUUUCUUCUAUUCUAAUUAUACGUGGUCACGAGAGAUCAUUUUUUCAUCACCGACAAUGCUAUAGAUCCAAGGCUUGAACCCAUGACCUUCUGGUCACAUGACAAUAACUUUACCAGUUACUCCAACUUUAUCAGCAACACACACAGAAGCUCACAAAUAUACACAUAUUCAUGUCGAGAAUAAUGUGUUCGCAAUUAACAUGCCUUUUAUCUAUUAAUGAUUAUAUAAUCUAUGCAUAACUGAUACAGUGUUUUGUUUUCAGUGCACUAAAGCUCCCCCUAUGCUCAGGUUCAGGGAAGGGUGUAUUGUAUGUAGCCUUACGUUGUAGUUUUGUCAGAGGCUGUUUCCAAGGCUUGAACCCGUGACCUCCUCGUCACAUGACAACAACUUUACCAGUUACUCCAAGGUCAUAGAAAGCAUGACAAAGCAAUCUUAAAAAAAAAAAAAAAGGAACAGUAAC